GCCUUCGUGGUGUAAUGGUCAGCACUCGGCUCGUUUUCGAGAGGUCCAGGUUUGAAUCCCUGCGAGGGCA
rnacentral:tRNA from 1 species